GCCCCCGUAGCUCAAUGGUAGAGCGCCGGGCUUUUAACCCGGGCGUUGCAGGUUCGAGCCCUGUCGGGGGUACCA
rnacentral:tRNA from 1 species